CACCUUGGCCCAGCGCGCCCGCACGGAGGUCUGCGCCCGCAGCGCUGUCGGGGGCCGCCCGUGUGCCCGGGGCGGAGCCUCCCGCCGACCGGCAUUCGCCGUUCCCUAAGCCCGGGCAGGCUGAGCCUGCGGUGGCCACGCGCCCCCUAUUAACGCUUUACAUCCGAGACCCGCUCCCCGCCCCAGCACAUUUUUCAGAGAAUCGUCGUAUCUCUGCCUUACAUGGGAAGCCAGUAUCACUUGCCAUAAAUAGAAGGCUUGGGCCGAACACGCUUUAAGUGGCUCUCUGCGUUGUGCGUCACCAUUAUCAUCAGCUCCAUCUUUGUCAUCGUCUUCAUCCCUGUCAUUCUGGUCAUCAUCGUCAUCACCAUCUCCACCGUCUCCUCCAUCAUCGUCACCCUCCCCGUCAGCGCUGUCACCAUCCUGUCCUCUUCAUCACCAUCAUCAUCAUCAGUUCCGGCAUAGUCAUCUUCUGUGUUGUCCCCUCCCAAGCUCAGGGAACGUCUGCUCCUCCCAGGCAUUCAUUGGCGCCCUUGUGGCCGUGACCUUGGCCUUGGUGCGGUCCAAACGGAGACGCCACACCUUUCCCUCUGGACAGGACUUCACAGCACUCUGCAGCCGGUGGAGCUGUUGGAAGGAGAAUACGCGGUGGGGCAGAGCCAGGGCCAGCUGGACCCCAGCUCAAGCCACGCACAGAGGAUGGCGACCCUCGCCGUGUGCAUCCACUCUCGUUCCAUUCAGUUGUGCGCAAGUCACCUGUGUGUAAAUAGCAUCUUAUCUGGGCUCCACGAUGCCGUCAACUUCCGGUGCAAGUUCACCUGCACGCAGCCACCAGCGGUUGCUCCAUCAAGAAGCUGCUGUGCACCGUGCUUCGACCAAGAGAACGCAGCGGCAGUGCAGCUGGGCUGACCCUCAACAGGCUUAGAACUUCCACUUUCAUCCCCAGAAUCGAGCCAGGAAGCCCAGGCCGUCCCACUGCAGGGGGACACCGCGUGGCGUGGAGGGCCUUGCAGAGCUGAGACACCACGCGAUGAGUCACGUGGAAGACCGACUCGCCCUUCUAGAACCUUCAGGCACCCGCUGAGAGCACUUGCUUGCACACCCAGCCGUGGCCGUGUGGAGAGGAGCUUUGUCCAGCAGAGGACUCCACACAGUCUCGAGGAAUCACAAAACACUGUACGUCACCAACAUUCGGGAUGGUUUCUUAGGUUGCAAAAGUUCAGGGGCGUGCUGGCACCACAGCUCACUAGGCUAAUCCUCCACCAACGGCCAGCACCCUGGGCUCUAGUCCCAGUUGGGGCGUCGGAUUCUGUCCCGGUUGCUCCUCUUCCAGGCCAGCUCUCUGCUGUGGCCCGGGAGUGCAGUGGAGGAUGGCCCAAGUGCUUGGGCCCUGCACCCCAUGGGAGACCAGGAGAAGCACCUGGCUCCUGGCUUCAGAUCGGUGCAGCGCACCAGCUGUAGUGGCCAUUUGGGGGGUGAACCAACGGAAGGAGGACCUUUCUUUCUGUCUCUCUCUCUCACUGUCUAACUCUGCCUGUAAAAAAAAAAAAAAAAAGUUCAGGGGCGAUGGAAUGAACAGGUAACUUGAGGGACAAGCAUUUGGCCUCACCAUCAGGAGGCUGGCAGAGAGGCCCCGUCCCCUGUGUGCACGGACGCCGGUCGCGGCUCCGCUCCUGACUACGGCUUCCUGCUGCUGCGCACCCCGCAGGCCGUGACGCACGCAGCGGCGCCUCGCUCCCCACAGAGGAGACUCAGGCUGAGACCCCGGUCCUGGCUUUGACCUGGCCCAGCCCCAGCUACCAUGGGCAUUUGAGGAGUGAACUAGGGGAUGGAAACUAACUCCCUCUCUCUGCUCCUCAAACAGCUUUGCAAAAAAGCUCAUUUUAUUCUUCCACGAGGUUUUACACACCCCCUCCUAGAUGAUCUGCUUUGUUUUGGCCACAGGCCUGCCAACAUGUCCGGGUCCCUCAGAUCCCAGAAGGGAAACGGGCUUGUUCUGAACCAAGCUCAGGCCCCAAGAGAGUCCCCCUGUGUCCCCGAGUCUGCCUUUCGCAGCAGCCUUGCGGCAGGAGCACCGGCUGUCCCUGUGCCUCCCAAGACAAGCUGUGCUCUCCCUGCUCUCCACCCCCCCCCAAUCCCACAAUCCCCCGGGGACCCUGACUUGACUUUGGAGCAAAUGCAGCAGGCCCAUGAGUCUCUGCCUCUCUUCCAGAACAUUCUUAGCCGUGUGUUGGAGACAUCACAUCUUAGAGGUUUUCCAGAGGCUACGGGACACGCGAGCCAUUCUAACACCCACCUCCUUUCAUGGCAUAAAAUGGUGCAACUGUGCUUAAAAACCUCUCUCCUAGCUGUCCUGCAGGAGGAAGAUUGAGGGGCCCUGGGAACGCGGGGGGCCCUCUGCUCCUCCUACCGGAACGGCAUGCACCUGCAGUCCUGGGCGUGGCCGCCCAGCAGGAGAACGAGCAGGCCUUGCUCUGCCCCAGCGGCCACGCUCCAGGCUCCUGGUGGAGCUCACACUGCAAACCGCUGUCCUGCCCAGCUGGGUCUGCACCCCAGCCUGUGGGUACCGGCUUCGGGGAAUGGUGUUUAGCUCCUUGUUUAUUUAUGUGGCAGAGACAGACGGCAGAGAGCUCCCAUCUGGAGAGUCAGCAGCUGGGGCUGGGUACCAAGCCGGGCAUCCCCACGUGGGAUGUGGGCAUCCCAACUGCCAGGCGGAACGCCUGCUCCUCGUGGAGCGAUCUUCAGUGGGAACCAUGAGACAAUGAAUGAAUGAAUGAAUGAAAGAGAAAUGCAUGAAUGAAUGAGCAGGUGGGGUUCAAUUUACCCACAAGGCCAACAGCACCUGUCUUGUUCCACAGCCUGGGUCCAGACCCGACACCACACCUUCUGCCUCUCUGAUGGCAGUGGGGCCAUCUCACUCUCUCUAGACACUUGCGUCUCUUUCCAUCCAACACAGCAUCACUUAGGAUCAGGACUGCUCAACCAAAAGCCACCAGAAAACAAAACAAAAUGAGAGUUGGUUAAAGCAGAGAGCUAUUUCUCAGCCAGGUAGGUGAACUCUGGAGGAAAGGAGAGAGUUGGGGUCAGAGACCCAGGCUUUUCCCAGCUUUCUGUUUCACAGCCCCUGGAGUGUGGGCUCAUCCUCAUAGUCCAAGACAGCUGCUCCCAUCCAGCCAUCAUUUCAACACCAGACAGAAGGGCAGAUGGGGCCCGUGCUGUGGCAUAGUGGGCUAAGCCUCCGCCUACACUGCCGGAUUCCCAUAUGGGCGCCCGUUCAGGUCCUGGCUGCUUCUCUUCUGAUUCAGCUCUCUUCUUGUGGCCUGGGAAAGCAGUAAAAGAUGCCCCAAGUCCUUGGGCCCCUGCACCUGCAUGGGGGACCUGGAAGAAGCUCCUGGCUCCUGGCUUCAGAUUAGUCCAGCUCUGGCCAUUGUGGCCAUUUGGGGAGUGAACCAGUGGAUGGAAAAUCUCUCUCUCUCUGUCUCUCACUCUCUCUCUGUAACUCUACCUCUCAAAUAAAUAACUAAAAUCUUAAAUAAAAAUGGUGCGUCCAGAGACUCACACAACUUCGCCCCCAUAGUUGGACUUUUUGUGAAAGCUGACCCUGGAGUGGGUCUCAGAGAGGCCAGCACAGGGCUCACCCAGGUGGGACAUGGACAGGAAGGGAAGACACAACACUGACCCGGAGGAUCACGGCAGGUACAAGGGUCAAGCCGCUGACCGCAUCCUCAGGGGUGACCAGCUAACUCCCCGUGUGUGCAAGCAGAGACCAGAUGCCUUAGAGAGCAUCUAAAAGCCCAGUGGUGGGGCUGGCACUGUGGUGCAGUGGGUUAAACUGUUACCUCCAAUGCCGGCAUCCUAUAUGGCUGCCGGUUCGAUUCCUGGCAUCUCCACUUCCAAUCCAGUUCCCUGCUAAUGUGCCUGGGAAAGCGGCAAAGAUGGCCCCAGUGCUUGGGCCCCUGUACCCACAUAGGAGACCAGGAUGGAGUUCCAGGCUCCUGACAUUAGUGCGGCCCAUUCCUGACUUGCAGGCAUUUGGGAGGUGAAUCGGUGAAUACAAGAUUCUCUCUCUCUCUCUCUCUCUCUCUCUCUCUUUCUCUCUCUCUCUCUCUUUCUCUCUCUCCCCACCCCUGCUACCCCAUUACUCUGCUUUCAAGUAACAUGGGGAUAAGUACAAGCAAAAUUCA